rnacentral:sRNA from 1 species
UAGUGUUUAAUUAGUCCUUCUGCUUCUCUCAGGACUUGGACCACUCUAUAGGAACUCAGUAUAGUGCCAACCCACCUGUUACAAUUGAUGUACCAAUGACAGACAUGACAUCUGGCUUGAUGGGGCAUAGCCAGUUGACCACCAUUGAUCAGUCAGAACUGAGUUCCCAACUGGGUUUGAGCCUAGGGGGUGGCACCAUCCUGCCACCUGCCCAGUCACCUGAAGAUCGUCUUUCAACCACCCCUUCACCUACUAGUUCACUUCACGAGGAUGGUGUUGAGGAUUUCCGGAGGCAACUUCCCAGCCAGAAGACAGUCGUGGUGGAAGCAGGGAAAAAGCAGAAGGCCCCAAAGAAGAGAAAAAAGAAAGAUCCUAAUGAACCUCAGAAACCAGUUUCAGCAUAUGCUUUAUUCUUUCGUGAUACACAGGCUGCCAUCAAGGGACAGAAUCCUAAUGCCACUUUUGGUGAGGUUUCAAAAAUUGUGGCCUCCAUGUGGGAUAGUCUUGGAGAGGAGCAAAAACAGGUAUAUAAGAGGAAAACUGAGGCUGCCAAGAAAGAGUAUCUGAAGGCACUGGCUGCUUACAAAGACAACCAGGAGUGUCAGGCCACUGUGGAAACAGUGGAAUUGGAUCCAGCACCACCAUCACAAACUCCUUCUCCACCUCCUAUGGCUACUGUUGACCCAGCAUCUCCAGCACCAGCU